UUAAUGGAGCAGGGUAGAAUGAUAAUUAAUAUUCCUAUAUAUUAAGGUUUCUCCCAAGUUAGGGUUUUUCAUUGCACUUACAUCGGGCUGAUCCUUGCGAUUAUCCCUAAUGCGGAUAAUUCGAGCGUAGAAUUACUGAUAGUCGGGACUACGUAUGAGCUCUCCCGAC
rnacentral:snRNA from 1 species